rnacentral:misc_RNA from 1 species
AACUGAUACUACCUGCGGGAACCUGCGGAGGGAUCAUUAUCGAGUUUACAACUCCCAAACCAUUGUGAAUCUUACCUUUUCGUUGCUUCGGCGGGAUCGCCCCGGGCGCUUCGGUGCCCCGGAUUCAGGCGCCCGCCGGGGGACCUAAACUCUUGUAUUAUAGUGGAUUUCUGAGUGGAUUACACAAAUAAUCAAAACUUUCAACAACGGAUCUCU